UUUAGUGGUUCUCAGAAUUGGUCCUUAACCAGCAGCAUUAGCAUUGCCUGGGAACUUGUUAGAAAUGCAAAUUCCCAGCCUGGGUCUGAAGCCCUGGUUAAAAGGCAGGGAGUGACUCCUGGUCUCUUGUGCUUCCUGGGUCCUCUGCUUCCAGUGAAAAUUUGAAGAAGCUGCAGGAAGACAGAAAGGGGGCAGGGACCACUGCACCAUUUUCCUUGACUGGUGCAUAAUACAUUAAUACUCUCAUUUGCAUAGGCUAUUAGAAGGUUAUUUACAUUCUAAUUACAGGCUACCGGAAUGUUGCACUUAUAUUCAAAUUAGAGGACUUUUUUGAAAGUUCAUUUGUUUCCAUUUUAAGCUAACUACGGCUUAAGGAGAAAGAAGUGGCGACACUGGUGAGCUUUUGGCACAUCAGGACCCCGUGAAGGAGCCCUAGUGGCACAACCAUUAAGCUCUCAGCUGCUACCCAAAAGGUUGUGGUUCAAACCCACCAGCUGCUCUGUGGGAGAAAAGACCUGGCGAUCUGCUCCUGUAAAGAUUACAGCCUAGGAAACCCUAUAGAGCAGUUCCACUCUGCCCUAUGGGGUCACUGAGUCAGAAUCCACUUGAGGGUACAAUGACAUCUCUAUCUGUAUCUAUGUCUGUGUCUCUGUAUAGAAUCCCAGGUGGCUCAACAGUUAAGUGCUCAGCUGCUAACCUAAAGUUUGGUGGUUUGAACCCACUCAGUGGCUUUGCUGGAGAAAGGCCUGGCGAUCUGCUCCUGUAAAGAUUACCAGAAACCAAACCAAACCAUUUGCCGUGGAGUCAGUUCCAGCUCAGUGACCCUAUGGGACAGGGUGGAACUGCUUCAUGGGGUUUCAAAGGCUGGGAAGAUCUUUCUCCCUCAGAGCAGCUGAUGGGUUCAAACCACCAACCUUUCAGAUAGCAGCCGAGCGCUUACCCACUGCACCACAGUUACAGCCUAGGAAACCCUAGAGGGCAGUUCCACUCUGUAACACAUGAGGUCACUAUGAGCUGGAAUCAUUUCCACGGCACCCAACAAUAACAACACAACACAGAGUAGGGAUCAAAAUGAGAAAUGAAGCUGGGGAAACGGAAAUCACUGCCCUUGGGGGCCUCUCAGGGGAAAAUCAGGCAGAAGCAGCAAGAAAGAGACCUGUGUGUCAUUCUAACUGAUAACACAGUUCACAGUUCACUGUAUAACAGCGUUAGGAAACCAGCAUUAUGACCCUCCAUCCAUCCUUCAACUCCUCCCUCAGCCCAGGCCCCAGGUCUUGUGUUACACUGCAGAUAGCCAGUGACAAAAAAAUCAACACACGAAUUCUGGCUUCAACGGAAGAGUUUUGGACCUAUGUCUGGACUGGGUAAACUGCAUUUUGAGAGGAGGAAUUUACCUAUUAUACUAGGGACCCACACACUAUGUUACAAUUUAUAAGAAGUUCAUCUUAGAAGUACAUACAGUGUUGUUGGGUGCCAUCAACUCACAGCGACCCCAGGUGACAGAGUAGAGCUGCCCCAUAGGGUUUCCUAGACUGUCAUCUUUACGGGAGCAGAUUGCCAGGCCUUUCUCCCAUGCAGUGGCUCAUGGGUUUGAACUGGCAACCUUUUGGUUAGCAGAAAGUGCCUAACCACUGCGCAACCAGGGCUAGCCCACAGAAGACACUGUGUCCUGGGACUAUCUCGUCAUUUUGCUGACUAAGGGCACACUUCUGAAUUUCGGUCAUAGCGUUUUCAAAACACGUAAUGAAUGCUUACAUGAAAUAUUAUCUGUGCAUCGGACUCUCGAGAGAGCUGGGUUACCAGAGGACACUUGCUGAUAGGGUCAUCAGUGGGACUAGUGUAAUUAGGUUGGAGAGAAUCCGAGAUUUGAGUCACGAUGGAAAUGUCACCUUAACAGAAUUUCUGAAGAUGUGAUCACUUCUCGCCCUAAGGGUCUCAAGUAAAAGAGGCUUCUGUGUGUGCUAACUUUUGAUCUAGAGUUACAGAAGCCAAGCUCCAACCAUUCCACACUGAGUUUGCAGAUACAGGAUUCAAAGCAGGAUAGGACCCGCCACCACGAAGCAACACACAUUUAUCCACAUGCGUGAGAGCUGUUAAAAGACUGUGACAAGGGAAAUGUGGAGAGCAGUCAGAAGAUGACCGAAAAAAUUAGCUAAAUAAAAUAAACGAAUGAAUAAAAACACAGCGCUAUAAAUUUGGUUAAAAGUUGAAAGCUGACAACUCUGAAUGUAUGUUUAAAAAAUGAAAGACGGUACUGCUGUUAUGACUAAAGCAAGUCAAAUUUCCACUUUCAGUCUGAUUUCAGUACAUGAUGUUUCAUGAAUAUACAAUUUAAAACUUCCAGUAAGAUUGACAGCGCAGAGACCAAGAUUCGAAAAUUAGACGCAUCUUCUUUAGAGUUUAUGCAAAUCGCUGUGGCUGUGAGGGAAAUCAGUUCAACUUGUGUUUUUAAAUUACUUCCUGGUAGCGAAUUAUCAGGGCUAGUGUUAUGUGUUAUCACCUCCUCGGAUUCCUCCCUCCCCAUGAUAAAAAUGUGUCAGUUGAUUCAAAACUGUCUUGGUUUUUGGCAAAGUGACCAUCAGAGCCCUCGAAGGAGCUGCCAAGGGAUUCGUGUUGACUGCUAAGAGGCGGUAGAAAAUGCCAUGGAGGUCGCAAGUUCGAUCCCACGUUGGUGCUCAACUUCCGCAUUUCCCGUCAGAAGCAUCAUAGAAACACGUAACAAAUGCUACUAGGAAAUAUCAUCUGUGCGUCAGAAUUUAGUGUUUCUAAAUGAUUUUUAUUUAUGAAGAAUUGGCGAGACCUUGAAGUGAGUUCCAGUAGCAGGGAGAGGAACCAGAAUGGUGUUUACAUUCCUGGCCUUUGGACUCACACAACGGAAGCUGUGUGUUCAAAUGUAGGUCGUGGUCAUUUAUUCUGCUUUAGACAGGUUUCCACCUACUGCUGUCUAAUUCUGACUCAUUGAGACCCCAUAGGGUUUCCAAGGCUAUAAAUCUUUAUGGAAGCAGAUUGCCACAUCUUUCUCCCAUGGAGUCACAGGUGGUUUUGAACCACCAACCUUCUGGUUAAAAGUCAAUUGCUUUACCCGCUGUGCCACCAAGGCUCCUGUUAGGACUCACUUACAUUCUGGGCCAGAAGAGUGCAUUUUGAGGGUACAAGCCAUGAAAAUGGGCCCUUUACCCUCUAAAAUCUAAAUAAAUUCUUUUCCUGUAAUCCUGUGAUAGAAAUUUAGAGGUUUCUGCCUCUCUUUAAAGGAGUCCUGGUGGCGCAGUGGUUAAGUGCUUGGCUGCUAACCAACAGGCUGGCAGUUUGAACCAUCAGCUGCUGUACGGGAGAAAGACGUGGCAGUCUGCUCCCAUAAAGAUGACAGCCUUGGAAACUCUGUGGGGUAGCUCUGUUCUGUCCUAUAGGGUCGCUGAGUCAGAAUGGGCUGGACAGCACACAACAAAAAUAGCAACCUACUAAAACAGUUCACUUAGAUAAUGACAGUACCUGCCACAGAGAUUGACUCUGGGGAUUAACUGAAAUAAUAAUGUCCAGCAUGCAAAACGCUCCCAAUGAAGAUAAGUAAGUUGAUAAUUCCUUCCUGGUGCUUCCUGGAGUAGCACGUUACCCACAGCCUAAGGGAGCUGCUCCUGCAAAGACCACAGCCUAGAAAACCCUAUGGGCCAACUCUGCCCUGCCACACGGGGUCGGCAUUGACCAGGCGGCACCCAACACCAAGAACAUAGGUCCCGAGGUCACUUGCACUCGACUACUAACUGAAAGGUUGGUGGUUGGAACUGAAGAAGAAAGGCCUGGUGACCUGCUUCUGUAAAGAUGGCAGCCUAAGAAACCUGACGGGGCAGUCCUACCCUGUCACAUUCUGACUAUGAGUCAGAAUUGACUGCGCGGCACCUAACAACAGCAGCAGGUGGAGCUCCACCAUCAGAGGAUAUGAAGUCUGAGAUCAGAGAGCACGUUGUUGUUGUUGGGCGCUGUCGAGUCAGUUCUGACUUAGCGCGCUCCCACGUGACCGAGCGGGACUGCCCCAUGGGGUUUCCUAGGCUGUCAGCUUUACGGGAGCAGGUCACCAGGUCUUUCUCCCAUGGAGCCACUGGUAGGUUUGAGCCACUGACCUUUCGGUUAGCAGCCAAGCACUUAACCACUGCACCACUGAACUCCUUAACACACACAGUACUCCUCCUGUUAAGAUAUUAAAACAACUCAUAGCAGCUAGAGCCCUGGUGGCACAGUGGUUAAGAGCUCCACUGCUGACCAAAAAGUCAGCAGUUAAAUUCGCCAGCCACUGCUUGGAAACCCUAUGGGACAGUUCUACUCUGUCCUAUAGGGUCACUAUGAGUCUGAAUCAACGGGUUGGGUUGGGUUUUAGAGACCUCAGAGAGCCCUUGGACCACCUCCCUGACUGUGCAGGCGUCACACGUGGGGCGAGUCUGAUACACAGCCGUCAGAUGCCCAGCAGGUGGCUGCAGCCAGGGUCCUGGUGGACAGAUGACCAGGCAGGUGCUUCUUCACAGGCGUGUUUCAGAGCAGCACCGACUGGUGGACGGAUGACCAGGCAGGUGCUUCUUCACAGGCGUGUUUCAGAGCAGCACCGACUGGUGGACGGAUGACCAGCCAGGUGCUUCUUCACAGGCGUGUUUCAGAGCAGCACCGACGCCUCCCUGUGCUGAUUCACUUUCUUAAAAUGCAGCUUCUGCGUACACAGCAGGCACAGUUACCUCCUGUUCUUCUUCAAAUAGGAGAAGAGAUGUUCGAGAAAAUUGGCACCUUCCGUCUGCCUGUAUUUCAGACUUGGAGAUAGGAAGAAGGUUUGGUAUCUCAGCUUCCUGAAUAUUCCAUAAUCGGGGUGACCAAGCUCCUAGCUUUUCCGGGGCAGCCUUGGUUUAUGCCUGCUGUCCCAAUGCUCCAUCAGAUCGGCUUCUAUUUCAUGAUCAGAGUGUCCUGGUUUGGAUGAUGGAUUUUAUGCUUUCUCUACCCAGAACACGAAGAGCACAAGUGGUGCAGUGGUUAAAGUGCUUGGCUGCUAACCGAAAGGCCAGUGGUUCGAACUCAGCAGCCACUGUUCGAGAGAAAGAUGAGGCAGUCUGCUUCUGUAAAGACUACAACCUGGUAAACCUGGCCAUUCUACUCUGUCCUGCAGGGACGCUAUGAGUCGGAAUCCACUCAACAGCACCACCAACAACAACUGAGCAUUGGCUGCGAGUGAUAAACUGUGCUGGGUGCGUUACAUCCAUUUUGUACAACUCUAUGGAGUAGACAUUUAAUCUCCAUUCAUCAGGUAAAAAACUGAACCAAGAAUACAGAGCAACAUGUGGUAGGUGCCAGGAUUUGAGCCCAGGGCAGCCUGGCUCCAUUGUCUGUACUCUGCUCUGCUGAACUGUUUUCCCCACACCCUGUCUCUGGUGUGAAGGGUUCAGAAAGCAGUCAUUGUAGGAGCUUCCUCAGAGCCUAGAGAAACAAAGCAAAGCCAAGAGUUGGGCUUAAGUCUUAAGAGAUCCAAAUCCAUUUUGUUUUGGACUGUAAUUUGUGGUAAAAUAAUAAGUGCUUUAAUAAAGAGCUGGGUGUGUCCCCAGUGUCCCCAGUGGUUACAUCUCCAAGAGGGAGCUGGCACACAAGCUGCUUUUCCCACCAGCCGCUGCAGAUCGUGUCUGUCAGACCUGGCCCAAGGAAAUUAGGAGGAACCAAUAAGACAGAAGGGGCCCUGGUGGCACAGUGGAUAAGUGCUUGGCUGUUAACCUAUAGAUGGGCAGUUCGAACCACCACCUGUUCUGUGGGAGAAAGAUACAGCUGUCUACUUCUACAAAGAUUACAGCCUAGGAAACACUGUGGGACAGUUCUACUCUGUCCUAUAGGGUUGUUAUGAGCAGCAGCAGAUUUUUUUUUUUUUAAUAAGACAAGAGGAACCCUGGUGGUGCAACAGUUAAGCACUUCGCUGCUAACUGAAAGGUUGUUGGUUUGAACCCACCAGCAGCUCUGUGAGAGAAAGGCCUGGGGAUCUGCUUCUGUUAAAAAUUUUGCUGUUAGGUGCCAUCCCGUCGGUUCCGAGCCCUAGGGACCUCAUGUAACAGAGUAGAACUGCCCCAUAGGGUUUUCUAGGCUGUGAUUGUUACAGAGGCGGAUCGUCCACCAGGUCUGUCUACCGCGGAGCCUCUGGGUCGGUUUGAACUGCUGACUUCCUGAUUAGCAGCCACGUGCUUAACAUUGUGCCACCAGGGCUCCUUCCAUAAGGAUUAAGGCCUUGGAAACCCUAUGGGAUAGCUCUACUCUGUCCUAUAGGUCCGCACUGAGAAGGAAUCGCCCAACAACAACAGCAGGACGAGAGCCUUUGUAGCCUGCAUGGUUUCCCCCACUGUUCCGCCACCUCCCUCCACCCUUCAUCUGCUGCUACACGGCCUUCCCUGAGGCCAGGGGAUGUUGUUUUCUCUGUGUCAUUGGGGAAAUCCAGCCAAGCCGAAGAGAAAUAGGAGACAGGAAGUGUGUGUGUGUUUAAAGAAAAGCAAAUAUCCUUUAUCAGAGGUAAUUUAUGUUUGGGCCAACCUGUCAUUGUUGUUGUGUGCCUUGGGGUCAAUUCCGACUCACAGCAACCCCAUGUGACAGAGAGAACUGCCCAUAGGGUUUUCCAGGCCGUCAUCUUUACAGAGCUGACUGCCAGGUCUUUCUCCUGCAGAGAUGCCAAGUGGUUCAAACCACCAAUCUUUCAGUUAGCAGCUGAGCACUUAACCAUUCCACCACCCAGACUCCCUUGGCCUGACCUAGAAACAGUUAAAUAAAUUGACUUACCACCCCUGUUCCUUUCAAGGUUUUCAACCUAUGGAAAGAAGAACUUCAGUGACACCGGAUGGCUUUGAGGUUUCUACUUAACACUAACUUUAGCCAAAAAAAAAAAAAGCUUUAGAACAGAAAAUCUCUUAGGUGACUGUUAGUUUUCUAAAUCAAAUGUUGGAAACUUCGUGCGGCUUUGGGUUUAGGAGCAGUUCAGAAGUUCUAGGAAAAGCCAUGGGGCUGUGGGUUUAGGAGCAGUUCAGAAGCCCUAGGAAACGCCAUGGGGCUGUGGGUUUAGGAGCAGGUCAGAAGCCCUAGGAAACGCCAUGGAGAACAAGGAGAAGCAUUCUAGGCAUUUACUGAGCGACGCCCGCCAUUGGAUCAUUAGGGUGCGCUCGUGCGGUGAGGUCGCUGGUGUUGCGUAAUUCACGGGGUGGUUUGUUCUAUAAAGGAGUUCUGACACGACUUUGGCAAAAGCUCUCAGUUGCUAUGGAUUAAUGCCACUCAGAAGUCUUAGCUCUGGGAUAUAAGUCAGGUUGUAGCACAGACAGGUACGCUAGAAUUCUAACUUUCUGGUAGAAGGUGAGAGGAAAAUGAGAUUGUGUUUAAACUGUCUAUGUAUAUACGGUGGCCAUCUUUUCAUGAAAAUUCUUCUCAAUUCAUUCAGAACUGUCGUUGCAUCAUCGAAUGCAGUUUUGUCCUCCGAGAGACAGAAGGGUAGUGUUAGACUUUCUGAAAAAUCCAUUCGCUCCAAGGAUGCAGACAAAUGCGACAUUGUUAUCAUCUCCGGGCCCUUCCAGAAGCCCAGUGCACAGCGUUCAGAUAGAGCGUCCCGAAGGGUGGCCAAAAGUGACAUGGGACAUCCACUGUGCCACCCAUUCACCAGCAGCGCCCUGGGCUGAGAGGCAGGUCCAGGUGCUGGUUCCAGGCUGACAUCACCCUCUCUGUAGGACCUCGGGUGAGAUGCUAAAUUCCUCCAUUCUGCAAUUGGCUUGCACAUAAAAUGGAUGAAUGAUGAGAGACAGAACAAACGUCAGAGGAAAGUUCAGAAUACCUGCCCUUCCUACUUUUUUCUGUUUACUUUAUUCUGAAGAGGGACUCAAACAUAACCUAGCUGUUAAAGUCCGUGAUUACUUUUUAUAAGUUGUGCCAGUCAUUCAUGCAGAUGGCAAUGUGGAAAGGAGGCUGCAGAUGGGACCCAGAGGACAUUCAACAGGGAACGUGCCCACCUUUCCCUUCCUACCUCCUUCCCGACUCCUCCCUCUUCUCUCUUUGCUUUCCUUCAUUUUUUUCCACACAAUUUAACAUCCACUGAGUUGAAUGUAGAAGGGGCCCAGGUGGCACAACAGUUAAGUACUCAGCUGCUAACAGAAAGGUCUGAAGUUCAGACCCACCAGUGGCUCCACAGGAGAAAGACCUGGCAAUCUGCUCCCCUAAAGAUUACAGCCUUAGAAACCCUAUGGGGCAGUUCUCUGUCACAUGGGAUUGCUGUGAGUUGGAAUUACUGGACAGCACCCAACAACAACAACAACCACAGACUGAACAGUGACAGCCAGUGGCUGGUUAACGACUAAGUGCACUAGAUGAUGGAGCCCCUGGGUGGUACACAGGGCUAAUAUGCUCUUGGCUGCUAAAUGAAAGGUAGGAGGUUUUUAAGCUUACCCAGAAGUGCCUCGAAAGAAAGGCCUGGUGACCUACUUCUGGAAAAUCAGCCCUGCAGAGCACAGUUCUACUCUGCACACGUGGGGUAGCCAGGAACCGGAAUCGACUCCGCAGCAACUGACUACUGGUGAACAUGUAUGAUAAAUAUAUGAUUGAAUUUAUUUAUUUAUUUGCCAGUGCAUUUGUUCUUUGUGGUAGGUGUACCUGGAGUCCAUCUUAUGAAUAAGUAGGUGGCGUAAGAUCUAUACUUCUGUCUAUAAGAAUCUGGUAAAAUCCCUAGUAUUCGCUUGGGAAUUCCAUUUCUAUGCCAUAAAAAAAGGGUAAUAUAUGAAUAAAGUCACUGUAGUGGCUUGCAUUUUGUUAUGAUUCUGGAAGCUAUGCCACCAAUAUAUCAAAUACCAGGAGGGUCACCCAUGGUGGCCAGGUUUCAGCAGACCUUCCAGGUUGAGAUAGACUAGGAAGAAAGGUUUGGUGAUCUACUUCUGAAAAUCAGCCAAUGAAAAUCUCAUGGAUCAUAACAGAAUAUUGUCAGAUAUAGUGCUGGAAGAUGAGCCCCCUAUGUUGGAAGACACUCAGAAUACACAGUGGCCUCAACAAUGGACUUGAGCAUCCCAACAAUUGUGAGGAUGGCACAAGACCAGGCAACGUUUCAUUCUUUUGUACCUGGGGUCAUCAGAUCCUUUGGAAAAUAGUAUUAGGUAGCAUCUGAAGCACAAGAGGAGAUUAGAAAAUAAGGGGUUUCUGAAGGUCCAAAACCAAAAUCCAAAUGCAUUGCCGCUGAGCUGAUUCUGCCUCAACAGCAAUCCUAUUAGGACAGAGUAGAACUGCCCGUAGGUUUCCAAGGCUGUAAUCUUGGAAGCAGGCUGCCACGUCUUUCCCCUACAGAACCACUGGUGGGUUUGAACCACCAACCUUUCAGUUAGCAGUCAAGCACUUACCCACUGUACCAAGGGCUCCUUCUAAGUGCCCAAACCAAAGCCCAAGCCUCGUUGCCGUCAUGUCAAAUGGUGUGGCUGAGUAACGCAGCUGACGUUACCAAGCAUUGUGCAUCAUCAAUGUUAUUUACAGCCCACAUGCCUUAAUGGGAAUUGAAUGAGGAAUUAUUUGGAGACUGUUCAGUGUAAGUCCAUUACACGAAAUGAAAUAUGGCAGCUUGGACCUGGUGACACUUUCACCCUUUGGAAGCGACAGAGUUGACAUUUUCAAGCACUAGAGCUAUGUUUAUUCAGGUCCCAGGUCAUUAUUCCAUUGAUCAUAAUUCGGUUCUGUGAACGAUCACUCUGCCCCUGAAAGAAAUUAUGCUUCACUUAUUGCAUCUUAAAAGAGGUGAGAAAAAUUAUGGAAGAUCAUGACAUAGUGAUUGGUACUUAGGGGAGCAGUGAGACGUUAUUCACGUAGAGAAGUAGACAGCAGAUCAAUUUAUCUCCAUCUGAAAUACAUUUUUCCAGCAGAGUAAAAUUUCCAAAUAAGAAGGCUGGAAAACGAAAUAUAUAUCAAUGAUAAAAUUUGACUAUUAUUUUGCCAAUAUCUGUUUUUCCUAUGAAGGCAUCCAAAGCAAUUUUGCUCCCACUGGGAUUCCAAACCAUUUUCUGGACUUGAAGGAUAAAAUACCUCUACUUUGGAGCAAAAUUUUUUCUUGAAUGCCUGUUGUUAGGUGCUGUCGUGUUGGUUCCAACUCGUAGUGACCCCGUGUAUGACAAUGAAACAUUGCUGGGUCCUGUGCCAUCCUCAUGACUGUUGUUAUGCCUGAGCCCCUUGUUGCAGUCACUGUGGUGAUCCACCUCAUUGAGGGUCUUCCUUUCCUUCACUGACCCUCUGUUUUACCAACAAUGAUGUCUUUCUCCAGGAGCUGGUCCCUCCUGAUGACACGUCCAAAGUAAGUGCAACAAAGUCUUACCAUCCUUGCUUCCAAGGGGCAUUCUGGCUGUGCUUCCUCCAAGACAGACUUGUUUAUUCUGGCAGUUCAUGGUGUAUUCAAUAUCCUUCACCAACACCAUAAUUCAAAGGCAUCAAUUCUUCUUGGGUCUUCCUUAUUCAUUGUCCAGCUUACGCACGUGUAUGAAGUGAUUGAAAAUACCAUGGUUAGGUCAGGCUCGUCUUAGUCCUCAAAGAGACAUCUUUGUUUUUCAACACUUUGAAGAGAUCUUUUGUAGCAGAUUUGCUCAAUGCAAUACAUCGUUUGAUUUCUUGACCGCUGCUUCCAUGGGCGCUCAUCCUGAAGACACACAAGUUGAUACAGAGACAGAAUGCUACAUAGAUGGAGUAGCCUACUAAUUGUUUUUUUUCUUUUAAUUGUGCUUUGUUGUUGUUGUUGUUAGGUGCCGUCGAGUCGGUCCUGACUCAUAGCAAUCCUAUGUACCACAGAACGAAACACUUCCUCGUCCUGUGCCAUGCUCACAAUUGUUAUGCCUGAGCCCACUGUUGCAGCCACUGUGUCAGUCCCUCUCAUUGGGAGUCUUCCUCUUUUCCACUGACCCUGUACUGUGCCAAGCAUGAUGUUCUUCUCCAAGGACUGAUCCCUCCUGACAACAUGUCCAAAGUAUGUAAGACGCAGUUCUGGUUGUACUUCUUCUAAGACAGAUUUGUUCGUUCUUUUGGCAGUCCAUGGUAUAUUCAAUAUUCUUCAGUCUUCUUUAUUCAUUGUCCAGCUUUCACAUGCAUAUGAUGCAAUUGGAGAUACCACAGCUUGGAUCAGGUGCACCUUACUUAGUCUCCAAGGUGACAUCUUUGCUUUUCAACACUUUAAAGAGAUCCUUUGCAGCAGAUUUGCCCAACACAAUGUGUCUUUUGAUUUCUCGACUGCUGUUUCCAUGGGUGUUGAUUGUGGAUCCAAGUAAAAUAAAAUCCUUGACAACUUCAAUCUUUUCUCUGUUUAUCAUGAUGUUGCUUAUUGGUCCAGUUGUGAGGAUUUUUGUUUCCUUUAUGUUGAGGUGUAAUGCAUCCUGGAGGUUGUGGUCUUUGAUCUUCAUCAGCAAGUGCUUCAAGUCCUCUUCAUUUUCAGCAAGCAAGGUUGUGUCAUCUCCAUAUUGAAGGUUAUUAAUGAGUCUUCCUCCAGUCCUGAUGCCACAUUCUUCUUCAUAUUAGUUCAGCUUCUGGGAUUAUUUGCUCAGAAUACUGAUUGAAUAAGUAUGGUGAAAGGAUACAACCCUGACACACACCUUUCCUGAUUUUAAACCACACAGUAUCCACUUGUUCUAUUUCAACGACUGCCUCUUGGUCUACGUACAGGUUCCUCAUGAGCACAGUCAAGUGUUCUGGAAUUCCAGUUCUUCUAAGUGUUAUCCAUAAUUUGUUAUGAUCCAAAAUUGAAUGUCUUUGCAUAGUCUAAUAAAACACAGGUGACAUCUUUCUGGUAUUGUCUGCUUUCAGCCAGGACCCAUCUGACAUCUGCAAUGAUGUCCCUCAUUCCAUGUUUUCUUCUGAAUCCGGCUUGAACUUCUGGCAAUUCCCUGUCAAUGUGCUGCUGUAACCAUUUUUGAGUUAUCUUCAUUAAAAUUUUACUUGGUGCGAUAUUAAUGAUAUUGUUCAAUAAUUUCUGCAUUCUGUUGAAUCACCUUUCUUUGGAAUGGGCUCAAAUAUUGAUCUCUUCCAGUCAGUUGGCCAGGUAGCUGCCUUCCAAAUUUCUUGGCAUAGAUGAGUAAGUUCUUUCAACUUUGCAUCCAUUUGUUGAAAUAUCUCAAUUCGUAUUCAGUCAGUUCCUGGAGCCUUGUUUUUCACCAAUGCCAUCAAUGCACCUCGGACUUCUUCCCUUAGUACCAUUGGUUCUUAAUCAUAUGAUACCUCCUAGAGUGGUUGGAUGUCGACCAACUCUGUUUGGUGCAGGGGUGCAAGGACUCUGUUCCUUCCAUCUUCCUUUGAUACUUCCUGCAUCAUUCAUUAUUUUACCCGUAGAGUGCUUCAGUAUUGCAACUCAAGAGUUGAAUUUUUUCUUCAUUUCUUUCAGCUUGAGAAAUGCCAAGAAUGUACAUCCCUUUUGGUUUCUUAACUCCAGGUCAUUGCACUUUUCAUUAUAAUGGUUUAUUUUGUCUUCUCAGGCUGCUCUUUGAAAUCUUCUGUUCACUUCUUUUACUUCAUCAUUUCUUCCUUUUGCUUUAGCUACUCUAUGUCCAAGUUCAAAUUUCAGAGUCUCUUCUGACAUCCAAUUUGGUCUACUGUUUCUUUCUAAUGGCCUUUGGCUUUCUUCAUGUAUGACGUCUUUGAUGCCAUCCCACAACUCGCCUGGUUUUUGGUCAAUAGUGUUCAGUGUGUCAAGUCUCUUCUUGAGAUAAUCUCCAAAUUCAGGUGGGAUAUACUCAAGAUUGUAUUUUGGCUCUCGUGGAGUUGUUUUGAUUUUAUUCGGCUUCAACUUGAACUUACAUACGAACAAUUGAUGGUCUGUUCCUCAGUUGGCCUUUGGCCUUGUUCCAACUGAUGAUAUUGAGCUUCUCCAUCAUCUCUUUCCAUAGAUGUAGUUGAUUUGAUUCCUCUGUAUUCCAUCUGGGGUGAGGUCCAUGUGUAUAAUCACCGUUUAUGUUGUUGAAAAAGGUAUUUAUUUGCAAUGAAGAAGUCGUUGGUCUUGCAAAUUUCUGUCCUGUGAAUCCAGCUUCUUUUCUAUCACCAAGGCCAUAUUUCCAACUACUGAUCCUUCUUCUUUGUUGCUAACUUUCACAUUCCAAUCACCAGUAAUUAUCAAUUCAUCUUGAUUGCAGGUUUGAUCAAUUUCGGACUGCAGAAGUUGGUAAAAAUCUUCAAUUUCUUCAUCUUUGGCUUUAGCAGUUGGUGCAUAAAUUUGAAUGAUAGUUGUAUUAACUGGUCUUCCUUGUAGACAUAUGGAUAUUAUCCUAUCACUGACAGCAUUUUACUUCAGAAAAGAUCUCGAAAUGUUCUUUUUGGCGAUGGACGCAACACCAUUCCUCUUCAAUUUGUCGUUCCCGGCAUAGUAGACCAUAUGAUUGUCUGAUUCAAGAUGGCCAAUACCAGCCCAUUUCAGCUCACUAAGGCCUAGGAUAUCGAUCUUUUUGCCCUCCGUUUCAUUUUUGAUGACUUCCAAUUUUCCUAGAUUCAUACUUUGUACAUUCCAUGUUCCUAUUGUUAAUGGAUGUUCGCAGCUGUUUUUUCUCAUUUUGAGUCGCGCCACAUCAGCAAAUGAAGGUCCCGAAAGCUUGACGCCAUCCAUGUCAUUAGGAUAGACUCUACUUUGAGGAGGCAGCUCUUCCCCAGUUGUAUUUUGAGUGCCUUCCAACCUGAGGGCCUCAUCUUCCAGCACUACAUCUGACUGUGUUCCACUACUAUUCACAAGGUUUUUGCAGGUCUAUUUUUUAGAAGUAGGUCAUCAGGUCCUUCUUCCUAGUCUACCUUUGUCUGGAAGCUCUGCUGAUACCUGUCCACCAUGGGUGACCCUGCCAGCAUUUGGAAUACUUGUGAUGUAGCUGCCAGCAUCACAGCAACACACAAUCUACCACAGCAGGACAAACUGACAGACACGUGGUCUAUCAUUGUAUUGUCUCCAGCAGUGGGACAAUCAUGGGAAAGGCAUAAGAAGAGAGAGAAACCCCUUUCUUGCAUCUACCAGACUAAAGCCAAUGCAGAGGUGAAGAACGACUAGGAGUUGGGACUCAUAGAUUCUCAGUACAAAAUGUUUAUGAAAAAACUUCUGUGUACCUCUCUAGGCUAGGGGGAGCUCUGGUGGCACAAUGCUGAAGCGCUCUGCUACUAACUGAGAGGUUGGUGGUUUGAGUCCAACCAGCAGCUCUGUGGGAGGAAGACCUGGCGACCUGCUCCUGCAAAGAUUAUGGCAUAGGGAACUCUAUGGAGCAGUUCUACCCUGUGACAUGGGGUUACUGUGAGUUAGAAUCCACGUGACGGCACAUGACAACAAGAUGUGGCUAGAGCACAGCCAGCGCUGUGAAGAGAAAGAUGGAAUCCCACAGACGUAGGAGUGUGCACAAUUCUUCCUUUGUUUGUUUGUUGUUCUGCGUGUUUACCCUUGGAGAGGGCUGUCUUCUCAGGUCAAAGGGGCGAAGGUCGUGAGGCAGGCAGUGAGGGAGGGGCGAAGGGCCACCUGCUGUCCAGAACUCAGUUAUGCAUUUGGAGAGGGUGAUGUAAGACCUUAGUAGGGAAGGCACGCAGCCCACACUCGUUGUGACAGCAGGCCUGUUUCCUAAUAAACUGAAACCAAACCCGCCGCUGCCGAGCUGACUACGACUCACAGCAGCUCCGCUUGAGUCAGAGUAGAAUCGUGCUCCACGGGGUUUUCAGUGGCUGAGUUUUCAGAAGGAGAUCCCCGGGACUUGCUUCCAAGGCACCUCUGGGUGUACCGGAAUCGCCAGCCUUUCGGUUAGCAGCCAAGGGCGUUAACCGCUUUCACUAACCAGGAAGUCCAACUCCAAUUUUAUAAUAAGUAUCAAUCAGUUAACUGUUCUCAGCUUUAAACUGCAUCUUUCCUGUUGUCGUCAAAUGCCGUCAAGUCAGUUCUGGCUCAUAGCGACCCCAUGGGACAGAUUAGAACUGUCCCCUAAGGUUUUCUAGGCUGUAGCCUUUACAGGAGCAGAUCGCCAGGUCUUUCUCUCUCAGACCUGCUGCUUGGAUUUGAACCACCAACCUUUACUUAAACGUUUUUGCCACCAGCGAUCCUUCUGAAUCUUUCCUAGGGGCUGGGAAGUGAUGGAAUUUUUUUUUGUUUGUUUGGGGGGGUUUUUAGGGGGGGAAGUGAUGGAAUGGUUGGAAAUGGGACUGAAAGCCAGCCAAAAGGAAGUCUCAUGAGCCUCGAUAAAAUAAGCUGAAUGUGAGCAGCAUUUUAGGAUGUGAGGAAAAGAGAGGAACUGGGAUCUAGCAAUUAGUGAGUGAGGGACUGAGGGACCGAGUGGCCAGGACUUUGCAGCUGCUUUGCGUGGCCUCUCUGGGAAGCUCGAUCUAUUCCUCUGGCACCAUCACUUCCAAGCAAGCUACUCAAACUGAUCUCACGGUGCAGCUGUGAGCAACAGGCAAUAAAAGCAAGCUUGAGGCUUUUUGCAAAUAUUCAAAAAUUACAUAAACAUCGAAGAAUAACAGGACCGUUGGAACGUGUUACAAUUCUAUAAACCUGAGGAGUGAUCUUAAGAAAGUCAUCAUCAGAAAGAAAUUUGCAGAAAUAAAACCAGAAACAUCCAACAUCGUGAUAGUGUGUCAAAUCAGAUGUCAGUGGGAGCUCCCCCAAGGCCUAAAGUAGGUGGCUUUAUUCCGGAAUAACAGAACAGCCCGGCUGGAGUGCCCCCUCGAAUGGUAUUCGGCACCAAGAUUAACAAUGAAAGAUAAAAAGGAGAAAACCAUUAUCUUUAAUACGAUGCUACUGCCUAUUGCCUGUUGAGGGGAUGUAAUUUAUUAAAGAGGCAUUUGGGACCUGUCUUAGCUGCUUUUCUAAUGCGUGUGUUUAUUUAAUUUAUUUUUUCAUUCUCUUACUUUGUUUUUACAGUAAGCUCUUGAUUAUCCGGAGGCAGGUAUUUCCAAAUUAGCUCAUUCAGAAAACAAACAAACAAACAAAAUUGCUGUCAAGUUGAUUCUGACUCAUAGUGACCCUACAGGUCAGAGUAGAACUGCUCCAUAGAGUAAGAAAGGCCUGGAGAACUGCUUCUGAAAAUUAGCUGAUGAAAACCCUGUGGAUGAUGCAGUGGUUAAGAUUGUGUGUCAGCUUGGCUGGGCCAUGAUUCUCAGUGUUUUGGCAGUCGUAUUUGGAAACCUUGGUGGCAAAGUAGUUAAGUGCUAUGGCUGCUAACCAAAAGGUUGGCAGUUUGAAUCUACCAGGGCGCUCCUUGGAAACUCUGUGGGGCAGUUCUCCUCUGUCCUAUAGAGUUGCCAUGAGUUGGAAUCGACUUGACAGCACUGGGUGAAUGGGUGUAAUGUUGUAAGCACUUCCCUGUUGAGAUUUGAUAUGUGAUCACCCCCAUGUGAGUCGGAAUCAACUUGACAGCACUGGGUGAAUGGGUGUAAUGUUGUAAUCACUUGCCUGUUGAGAUCUGAUAUGUGAUCACCCCCAUGUGAGUCGGAAUCAACUUGACAGCACUGGAUGAAUGGGUGUAAUGUGGCAAUCACUUCCCUGUUGAGAUUUGAUGUGUGAUCACUGCCAUGAUGGGAUCUGCUGUAAGCAGCCAGUCUGUUGAAAGGGAGUUUCCUUGGGCCUGUGGACUGCAUCUGCAUAUAAGUGGACCUUCUGGCUUUUGCUCACUCUGGACCCUGUAGCUGCCCCUGUUUGUCUGACCUCCCGUCUUGGGACUUGAGCUAGCAGCUUACCUGCCGAUCUUGGGAUUCGUCGAUCUUCACAGCCUGUGAUCAAGAGCCCUGCUCUCCCACCUGCCAAUCUUGGGUUCUCCAGCCCCUGCUACUACGUGAAUCAGGAGAAGCCUCUAUCCUAAUCCAUGGAAUUGGGACGUUCCAGCCUCUACAACUGCAUGAGCCAUUUCCUUGAUAUAAAUCUCUGUGUAUAUUUAUACACUUUACUGGUUUUGCUUCUCUAGAGAACCCAGCCUAAGACAGACGACAACAGAGUAUUGUCUGAAAUAGUGCUGGAAGAUGAGCCCCCUAGGUUGGAAGGCGCUCAGAACUCACAGUGGCUGCAACAAUGGGAUCAAGUAUAUUGAUAAUCAUGAAGAUGGCGCAGGUCCGGGCAACAUUUCCGUUCUGUUGUACAUGAGAUCGCCAGGAGUCAGAGCCAACCACAGAGCACCUACCGACAAGGAAGAGUGAUGGAAUAACUGGGUGCUUUGCAAGAGCUGGUAUAGAGCAGGGGCUGGAGAUAGGACAGAUGAGGGCUGCCCCUCAGCUGGAAGAGAAGCAGCCAUGGAAUGGGGCACGACCUUGCCAUUAUUUCCAGCACGACCAGCACCUGCUGCCUGGGACCCAUAGUGAAGCACUUUGUAAGGUCAAAGGGGUGAGGGGAAGGAUACAUGAAUAGCAGCAGCUGUGGGGGAGGCAGUUGCUUCAACAGCCAGGCUGAGGCCCAGAUUGCUAUCUGCAUAUUAAUAAUGGUCCAGCAGAGUUGAGAGAAGGAGCCCUGGCAGUGCAACAGCUGCUUACCAAAAGGUUGCUGGUUCGAACCACCCAGUGGCUCCUCGGGACAAAGACCUGGCUAUCUGCUCCUGCAGAGAUCACAGUUUAGAACACCCUAUGGGGCAGUUCUACUCUGUCACAUGGGGUUGCUAUGAAUUGGAAACGACUCUAUGGCACCUAAUAACAACAACAAAACAUCUGAAAAUUGUUCAUUAUGAUUUGAUCAAAGAACAGAAUAUGCAUAAAUUAAAAGCCCACCAAAAACCCACUGCCAUCCAGUCAAUUCUGACUUAUAGCACUCUUUAAUCUCUAUCUUUAUUCUGUUGUUGGGUGCCAUCAAAUCAGCAACCCCAGGGGACAGAGUGGAGCUGCCCCAUAGGGUUUUCUGGGGUAUAAUCUCUACAGGAGCAGAUCUCCAGGUCUGUCUCCUGAAGAGCUGCUGCUGGGUUCGAACCACCAACCUUUUGGUUGGCAACCGAGUGCCUAACCACUGUGCCACUAGGAAUCCUUCCAGGAGGUUCAGUCUCUUGCUUCCGUUGCCUGCAGCUUUAGGGGAAUGUGUCAUAGCUAAUGCAUCCAGAGCCAGGUCCUGUGUAAAACAACACCUGUCUCAAGAAGGCAGCCCAGUUGUGUGGUUGAAAACAUGCAGCCACGAGCCACAGGUGGUCACUGCAUUCUUCCAGCUCCAGCCAGGUAUGUCUGCCCAUGAAGUACACCGGCACCAACCCAACAUAUUUCUCCCGUGAGUCCUGGUGGCACAAACAGUUAACUGCUUGGCUGCUAACUGAAAGAUCAGCGGUUGCAACCCACCAGCCAAUCCGCGGGAGAAAGAUGUGACAGUCUUCUCCUGUAAAGAUGACCACCUGGGAAGCUCUAUGGGGCAGUUCUCCUCUGUCCUACAGGGCCGCUAUGAGUCAGGAUCAACUCAGAGACCAUGGGUUUUUGUUUUUAUUUUUAAACACGACAUGUCUGGAAAAUCCAAGGCUUUAUUUUUGGGGUGUUUAUAGCCUUGGCUGAUUACACAAGUCCCCUCUUGGUCUAAAAUGGAUAGCAGCAUCCCUGGCUGCAGUAAGUUCUCAGUCUAGAGACCUCUGCAGUACAUCAGCCAGUCCCAAAGCAAUGUACCACAUGGCAGGGACCCACGGAGAGGUAGCAUUUAAGGACAGUGUGUCUAUAAGAAGCAAGGAGGAUGUGCUUCUGCAGAGCUUCUAAAAACACACUGAGCGAGGCAGUCUGCAGGAUUUACUGUGUGCCUCUCUGUGGAGGGGGGACCCUGGGUGGCAGAGAUGGUUAAGCACCCAGCUACUAACCAAAACGUUGGCAGUUUGAACCCACAUAGAAGCGCCUUGGAAGAAAGGCCUGGUGAUCCAUUUCCAAUCAGCCAUUGAAAACCCCAUGGAGUACAGUUCUACCCUGACAUACAUGGGGGUGCCACGAGUUGGAGUCCACUCCAUGGCAACUGGUUUUUGGUUUCCUCUGUGUAGAACCUUAUAAGAUUUGAUCUUUUUGUGUUGUCUGUGUAGAGGGCUUCAAAGUGUUUCUAAUACAUCAUCCCUUACAAGAAGGCUAGAAAAUAAUGGCUUUCUCGGUUUUCAAGUCUCCGCACUGUUGAUUUUCUGUUAUGAAUUUUGCUCAGGGAUUAAGAACAUUGUACCCAUCAAGGGGAGUCCCUAGGUGGCGCCCAUGGUCAAGCACUCGACUACUAGAGGAUAGACUGCCGGUUCGAACCCAUCCAGAGGUGGCCUGUGAAGACGAGCCUGGUGAUCUGCUUCCAGAAGGCCACAGCCUUCAAAACCCUAUGUAGCUGUUCUACAUGGAGUCGCCACAAGUUGGAAUCGACUUGACGACAACUAACAACAACAACCAUCAGGGAGAGGGUCUCCUGUGGUCUUCAAGUUGGGCAUGUGACCCUAACUGACCUGUGGAAGCAGGACUCACUGGGAUGGCCCAGCUUGUGGGCAGGGUCCAAUCAGAUGAUGCAAAUAGACACAGUCUCUGAGCAACAUAACAAGUUCUAGAGACUUUUAGCAACAAGAAAAGCCUCCAUCGAGAUAUACAAAGUUCAAAAGUAACUGAAUUUCCAGCUGUAAAUGUCAGUGACCUGAAGUACACGUUCUUCAGUAAUUACGCAACUGUUCGCAGGGAGUGGGGUGGGGGGAGGCGGUAGCAAACCAUGCCACUCACCCCACCACCUGCACCUUGUCUGUCUCCCUGCCCCCCUCAAACAGAUGCAGCCAAAGGUGAAAUUCGCUUCCCCUUGGCUAAGAGCAUUAAAAAAAAAAAAAAAAAAGUUGCAAUUGAGUAGAUUCCUACUCACGGCUAACAUGUGGGACAGAGCAGGACGGCCCUAUAGAGUUUUCCAGGCUGUGAUCUUUAUGGGAGCAGCUUGCCAGGUCUUUGUCCCGAAGAGCCACUGGUUGGAUUUGAACUGUCAGCCUUUCAGUUAGCAGCUGAGUGCUUAAUCACUGGAUGGGGGCUCCUGCUAAAAGCAUGGAACCACAAAUUGGUGCUCCACCCCACCUCAUCCAACCCCAGCUAUUUUUUAGGGGCUAUUAUAAAUGAUCUUGUUUUCCUAAUUUCCUUUUCAUCAUUCUCAGUAUUGGUGUAUAGGAGUCCAACUGAUUUUUGUAUGUUUAUCUUGUACCCUGCCAUUCUGCUGAAUCUUUCUGUUAGUUCAGUAAUUUUCCCAUGGAGUCUUUUGGGUUUUCUAUGCACAGUAUCAUAUUAUCCACAAAUAGGGACAGUUUUACUUCUUCAUUACUAAUUUGGAUGCCCUGUAUUUCUUUAUCUUGCCUUAUUGCUCUAGCUGGAACUUCCAGCACAGUGUUAAAUAGGAGUGGUGAUAAAGGGCAUCCUUGUCUUGUUCCUGUUCUCAAGGUAAAUGUUUUCAGCCUCUUCCCAUUAAGAAUGAUGUUGGCCUUUGGUUUUGCAUAGAUGCCCUUUAUUAUGUCAAGAAAUCUCCUUUCUAUACCUGUUUUAUUGAGAGUUUUUAUCAGGAAUGGGUGUUGGACUUUGUCAAAUGCCCUUUCUGUGUUGCUUGAGAUGAUCACAUGAUCAUCUUUUCUUUCCUUUUAUUUAUGUGGUUUAUUACGUUGAUUUUCUAAUGUUGAACCAUUCUUACAUACCUGGUAUGAAUCCUACUUGGUUGUAGUGUAUUGUUUUUUUUGAUAUGAUGCUGAAUUCCAUGGCUAGAGUUUUGUUGAGAAUUUUUGCAUCUAUAUCCAUGAGAGGUAUUAGUCUGUAAUUGUCUUUUUCUGUGGUGUCUUUGCUUGGUUUUGGUAUCAGGGUUAUGCUGGCUUCAUAGAAUGAAUUCAGAAGUAUCACUUCCUUUUCUAUGUCCUGAAAUAGUUUGAGAAUACUAGUGUAAUCUCUUCUCUAAAUGUUUGGUAGAAUUCUCCAGUGAAGCCAUCUGGGCCAGGGUUUUUUAUGUUGGGACUUUUUACCUUUUCAAUCUCUUCUCUGUUAUGGGUCUGUUAAGAUUUUCAACAUCAUUUUGUGUUAAUUUGGGUAGGUAGUAUGUUUCUGGAAAUUUGUCCAAUUCCUCUAGGUUUUCAAAUUGUGGGAGUACAGUUUUUCAUAAUACUCUGUUUUGAUUAUUUUUAUUUAGUUGGGUCUGUUGUAAUGUCCUCCAUUUUAUUUCUUGUUUGGGCUGUUUGCAUCCUCUCCUGUUUUCUUUGGUCAUUUUGGCCCGUGGCUUGUCAAUUUUGUUCAUUCUUUCAAAGAAUCAGCUUUUGGUUUUGUUGAUUCUAUUAUUUUUCUAUUCCUAUUUCAUUUAUUUUUGCUCUGAUCUUUAUUAUCUACUUUCUUCAGGUGGCUGUGGGCUUCUUUUGCUGUUCUCUUUCUGUUUGUUCGAGUUGUGUGGCUAAUGUUUUGAUUUUGUCCCUUUCUUCUUUUUUGAUGUGUGCAUCUAUUGAUAUAAAUUGACCUUUGAGGACUCCUGUUGCUAUGUCCCAGAGAUUUUGGUAUGAUGUGUUUUCAUUCUCGUUUGAUUCUAGGAAUUUCUUUAUUCCAUCUCUGAUGUCUUCUAUUACCCAGUGAUUUUUAAGCAUGGUGUUAUUCAGUUUCCAUGUAAUUGAUUUUUUUUUUCCCCUUGCUCUCCUGUUGUUAAUUUCUUCUUUGAUGGCCUUGUGGUCCGAGAAGAUACUUUGUAUUAUGUCAGUGUUUUGGAUUUUGUUGAGGGUUACUCUGUGGCCUAAGAUGUGGUCUGUCCUGGAGACUGUUCAUGUGCAUCGGAAAAGAAUGUGUACUUUGCAGUUGUUGAGUGGAGUGUUGUAUGUAUGUCUGUGAUGUCAAGCUGGCUGAUCGUGCUCUGUAGCUCUUCUGUAUCUUUGUUGAGUUUCUUUCUAGAUGUUCUGUCUUUUACCAAGAGUGGUGUGUUGAAGUAUCCUACUAUUAUUGUGGAACUGCCAAUUUCUCUUUUCAGCCCUGUUAAAGUUUGUUUCAUGUACUUUCGAGCCCAGUCACUGGGUGCAUAGAUAUUUAUUAUGAUUAAGUCUUCAUGAGGGAUCAUCCCUUUAAUCAUUAUAUAGUGCCCUUCUUUGUCUUUUAUGGUAGAUUUUGUUUUAAAGUCUAUUUUAUCUGAGAUUAGUAUUGCCACUCCUGCUCUUUUUUGGUAGCUGUUUGCUUGAUAUAUUUUCUUCCCUCUUUUGAUUUUUAAUAAAUUUACAUCUUUGUUUCUAAGGUGUGUCUCUUGUAGACAACAUAUUGAUGGAUUCUGUUUUUUAUCCAUUCUGUCACUGUCUCUUUACAGGUGCAUUUAAGCCAUUUAUGUUCAGUGUAAUUAUUGAUAGGUGUGAGUUUAUUGCUGUCAUUUUGUAGUGCUUUUUUUGUGGUGCUGACAUUUUCUUUGUUCCUCUUACUCUGCUG